GUAACAGGAAGAAGCUUGCUUCUUUGCUGACGAGUGGCGGACGGGUGAGUAAUGUCUGGGAAACUGCCUGAUGGAGGGGGAUAACUACUGGAAACGGUAGCUAAUACCGCAUAACGUCGCAAGACCAAAGAGGGGGACCUUCGGGCCUCUUGCCAUCGGAUGUGCCCAGAUGGGAUUAGCUAGUAGGUGGGGUAACGGCUCACCUAGGCGACGAUCCCUAGCUGGUCUGAGAGGAUGACCAGCCACACUGGAACUGAGACACGGUCCAGACUCCUACGGGAGGCAGCAGUGGGGAAUAUUGCACAAUGGGCGCAAGCCUGAUGCAGCCAUGCCGCGUGUAUGAAGAAGGCCUUCGGGUUGUAAAGUACUUUCAGCGGGGAGGAAGGGAGUAAAGUUAAUACCUUUGCUCAUUGACGUUACCCGCAGAAGAAGCACCGGCUAACUCCGUGCCAGCGGCCGCGGUAAUACGGAGGGUGCAAGCGUUAAUCGGAAUUACUGGGCGUAAAGCGCACGCAGGCGGUUUGUUAAGUCAGAUGUGAAAUCCCCGGGCUCAACCUGGGAACUGCAUCUGAUA
rnacentral:rRNA from 1 species